GUGUGUGUGUGAGUGUAAGUAAAUGGAUGUAUCGGUUUUACACUCUUGAUGCUUUAGAGUGUAACCCCUUCCUUGCUGUCCACUUUUUUUUACUGC